UACGUAGGGUGCGAGCGUUAAUCGGAAUUACUGGGCGUAAAGCGUGCGCAGGCGGUGAUGUAAGACAGGUGUGAAAUCCCCGGGCUUAACCUGGGAACUGCAUUUGUGACUGCAUUGCUGGAGUGCGGCAGAGGGGGGGAUGGAAUUCCGCGUGUAGCAGUGAAAUGCGUAGAUAUGCGGAGGAACACCGAUGGCGAAGGCAAUCCCCUGGGCCUGCACUGACGCUCAUGCACGAAAGCGUGGGAG
rnacentral:rRNA from 1 species